GUCGAACGGCAGCGCGGGGCAACCUGGCGGCGAGUGGCGAACGGGUGAGUAAUAUAUCGGAACAUACCCUAUAGUGGGGGAUAACGUAGCGAAAGUUACGCUAAUACCGCAUACGCACUAAGGUGGAAAGUGGGGGAUCGCAAGACCUCAUGCUCAUGGAGUGGCCGAUAUCUGAUUAGCUAGUUGGUGAGGUAAAGGCUCACCAAGGCGACGAUCAGUAGCUGGUCUGAGAGGACGACCAGCCACACUGGAACUGAGACACGGUCCAGACUCCUACGGGAGGCAGCAGUGGGGAAUUUUGGACAAUGGGGGCAACCCUGAUCCAGCAAUGCCGCGUGAGUGAAGAAGGCCUUCGGGUUGUAAAGCUCUUUUGUCAGGGAAGAAACGGUGGUCUCUAAUAUAGACUGCUAAUGACGGUACCUGAAGAAUAAGCACCGGCUAACUACGUGCCAGCAGCCGCGGUAAUACGUAGGGUGCAAGCGUUAAUCAGAAUUACUGGGCGUAAAGCGUGCGCAGGCGGUUGUGUAAGUCAGAUGUGAAAUCCCCGGGCUCAACCUGGGAAUUGCAUUUGAGACUGCAUGGCUAGAGUGUGUCAGAGGGGGGUAGAAUUCCACGUGUAGCAGUGAAAUGCGUAGAUAUGUGGA
rnacentral:rRNA from 1 species